rnacentral:rRNA from 1 species
CCUACGGGAGGCAGCAGUGGGGAAUAUUGGGCAAUGGAGGAAACUCUGACCCAGCGACGCCGCGUGCGGGAUGAAGGCCUUCGGGUUGUAAACCGCUUUCAGUAGGGAAGAAGCGAAAGUGACGGUACCUACAAAAGAAGCACCGGCUAACUAUGUGCCAGCAGCCGCGGUAAUACAUAGGGUGCAAGCGUUGUCCGGAAUUAUUGGGCGUAAAGAGCUCGUAGGUCGUUUGUUACGUCGGAUGUGAAAACCUGAGGCUCAACCUCAGGCCUGCAUUCGAUACGGGCAAACUAGAGUUUGGUAGGGGAGACUGGAAUUCCUGGUGUAGCGGUGGAAUGCGCAGAUAUCAGGAGGAACACCAAUGGCGAAGGCAGGUCUCUGGGCCAAUACUGACACUGAGGAGCGAAAGUCCGGGGAGCGAACAGGAUUAGAUACCCUGGUAGUCCAGACCGUAAACGGUGGGCACUAGUUGUGGGAACCUUCCGCGGUUUCUGCGACGCAGCUACGCAUAGUCGCCCGCCGUCGGGUAGGUACGAGUCGCGAAGAAUUAAACGUUAAACGGUAAAGUUAGUACGGACGUGAGACGUGCCGACGGACGACGACGACGGGAGGUAGG